GGGAGCGCACCCCGACUUUCCUAGAUCACAUGGGCUACGGCGGGGCGGGUGGAUCCGGGGAGGGAGAGGCGCGGGGAGGUAGCUGCAGAUCCUCAGUCGGGCCAGGGAGAAGACGCCCCCCACCCCCGUUAGUUCGGCCUCUCCAUUCAAGUUCGCCGGCCGCGGUCGCCGGGAUCCGAGGAUGGCACCAGACGCCCGCCCGCCUCUGCGCCCUUUUUCUAGUCACCGCGCAGAAAUUUAGGUCAAGGACGUCGGGAUCAAACCCAAACCCUGGCGCUCCUCGAGCGGACCCCGAGACCCCCCAGGAUCGGGGGGCUUCAGGAUUGCGGAGACCCUCUCACACAGACACCAGCCACAAGUUUUAUUUUCCUUUCGCUCUGGAAGUUCUCUUUGGCUCUCGCUCCACACCGGCACGUCUUGCGCCGCUCCCCGCCCUUCCCCGGCAGAGGUCUGUUGUCCGAGGUUCCUGGGACUCACAUCUACCACAUCUUGGUUUGGUGGAUUGUAUCCAUCCACGUAUGUUUUGUAUUUUGGCGCUGGGACUGUAUUUUUAUCUUCAUUUUCCACCUUCAGGGUUCCUGAACCAUACAGAAUAUGGAGGAAACGAUGGUGAGUGAAUUCUGAGGCCAGGUCAUAGAAGGCACUGUGGCUGCUACCUCUCUGGAUCACUUGCUUUGGG